GAGAUCCGGCGAGUUACGAUCAUGAGAAACGGUCGCUAAUACCCAAUAUGCCGAGAGGUGAAACUUAUAUGGCCAGAGGAUGAGCUCGCGUUCUGAUUAGCUAGUUGGAGUGGUAACGGCACACCAAGGCGACGAUCAGUAGCUGGUCUGAGAGGAUGAUCAGCCACACUGGGACUGAGACACGGCCCAGACUCCUACGGGAGGCAGCAGUGGGGAAUUUUCCGCAAUGGGCGACAGCCUGACGGAGCCAGACCGCGUGAGGGAAGAAGGCCUACUGGUUGUAAACCUCUUUUGAUAGGGAAGAAGACAGUGACGGUACCUAUCGAAUCAGCAUCGGCUAACUCCGUGCCAGCAGCCGCGGUAAUACGGAGGAUGCAAGCGUUAUCCGGAAUUAUUGGGCGUAAAGCGUCCGUAGGUGGUUAUUCAAGUCAGCUGUCAAAGGAUGGAGCUUAACUCCAUAUAGGCAGUUGAAACUGUGUAGCUAGAGUGCGAUAGGGGCUAGGGGAAUCCCCAGUGUAGCGGUGAAAUGCGUAGAUAUGGGAAAGAACAUCGGUGGCGAAAGCGCGUGCUGGGUCUGCACUGACACUGAGGGACGAAAGCUAGGGGAGCGAAAGGGAUUAGAUACCCCUGUGUUCC
rnacentral:rRNA from 1 species